UGGGGAAUUUUGGACAAUGGGCGAAANCCUGAUCCAGCAAUGCCGCGUGUGUGAAGAAGGCCUUCGGGUUGUAAAGCACUUUUGUCCGGAAAGAAAUCCUUGGCUCUAAUACAGUCGGGGGAUGACGGUACCGGAAGAAUAAGCACCGGCUAACUACGUGCCAGCAGCCGCGGUAAUACGUAGGGUGCAAGCGUUAAUCGGAAUUACUGGGCGUAAAGCGUGCGCAGGCGGUUUGCUAAGACCGAUGUGAAAUCCCCGGGCUCAACCUGGGAACUGCAUUGGUGACUGGCAGGCUAGAGUAUGGCAGGAGGGGGGUAGAAUUCCACGUGUAGCAGUGAAAUGCGUAGAGAUGUGGAGGAAUACCGAUGGCGAAGGCAGCCCCCUGGGCCAAUACUGACGCUCAUGCACGAAAGCGUGGGGAGCAAACAGGAUUAGAUACCCUGGUAGUCCACGCCCUAAACGAUGUCAACUAGUUGUUGGGGAUUCAUUCCUUAGUAACGUAGCUAACGCGUGAAGUUGACCGCCUGGGGAGUAC
rnacentral:rRNA from 1 species